CAAGGAAUAGUUUAUGUAGAACUCCAG
rnacentral:tRNA from 1 species